rnacentral:lncRNA from 1 species
CAUUUCUUCACUUUGACAUUCAGAGCACUGGGCAGAAGUCACAUUGCGUCAGCACUGAU